AGUCGAACGGAAAGGCCUAGCUUGCUGGGUACUCGAGUGGCGAACGGGUGAGUAACACGUGGGUGAUCUGCCCCUGACUUUGGGAUAAGCCUGGGAAACUGGGUCUAAUACCGGAUAUUCACUUUCUCCUGCAUGGGGGUUGGUGGAAAGCUUAUGCGGUUGGGGAUGGGCCCGCGGCCUAUCAGCUUGUAGGUGGGGUAAUGGCCUACCAAGGCGACGACGGGUAGCCGACCUGAGAGGGUGAUCGGACACACUGGGACUGAGACACGGACCAGACUCCUACGGGAGGCAGCAGUGGGGAAUAUUGCACAAUGGGCGCAAGCCUGAUGCAGCGACGCCGCGUGAGGGAUGACGGCCUUCGGGUUGUAAAACCUCUUUCAGCAGGGACGAAGCUUUUGUGACGGUACCUGGAGAAGAAGCACCGUCCAACUACGUGCCAGCGGCCGCGGUAAUACGUAGGGUGCGAGCGUUGUCCGGAAUUACUGGGCGUAAAGAGCUCGUAGUCGUUUUGUCGCGUCGUCUGUGAAAUUCUGCAGCUUAACUGCAGGCGUGCAGGCGAUACGGGCAGACUUGAGUACUACAGGGGAGACUGGAAUUCCUGGUGUAGCGGUGAAAUGCGCAGAUAUCAGGAGGAACACCGGUGGCGAAGGCGGGUCUCUGGGUAGUAACUGACGCUGAGGAGCGAAAGCGUGGGUAGCGAACAGGAUUAGAUACCCUGGUAGUCCACGCCGUAAACGGUGGGUACUAGGUGUGGGUUCCAUUUCACGGGAUCCGUGCCGU
rnacentral:rRNA from 1 species